rnacentral:rRNA from 1 species
CCCUUAGAGUUUGAUCCUGGCUCAGAUUGAACGCUGGCGGCAGGCCUAACACAUGCAAGUCGAGCGGUAGCACAGAGAGCUUGCUCUCGGGUGACGAGCGGCGGACGGGUGAGUAAUGUCUGGGAAAUUGCCUGAUGGAGGGGGAUAACUACUGGAAACGGUAGCUAAUACCGCAUAAUGUCGCAAGACCAAAGUGGGGGACCUUCGGGCCUCAUGCCAUCAGAUGUGCCCAGAUGGGAUUAGCUAGUAGGUGGGGUAACGGCUCACCUAGGCGACGAUCCCUAGCUGGUCUGAGAGGAUGACCAGCCACACUGGAACUGAGACACGGUCCAGACUCCUACGGGAGGCAGCAGUGGGGAAUAUUGCACAAUGGGCGCAAGCCUGAUGCAGCCAUGCCGCGUGUGUGAAGAAGGCCUUCGGGUUGUAAAGCACUUUCAGCGGGGAGGAAGGCGUUAAGGUUAAU